GAGUAUUUAAGGUUCUUAUAGGUUGGAAUUGAGGUAGCCAACCUGAGGUAAAGAUAGGAUCAAGUUUGGUUCUAUUUAAGGUGGCUGGAAGAUUAUUGGGCAUCAUCACUCGAGUGAUCGGAUACGAGUCGGCGUACAUUUUGACCUUCGACAGCGGGAAGGGCUAGACUUCGUGGCAAGGGGUCAGUGACUAGCUAGAGCCUAUUCGAUGUUG